AGGACGAACGCUGGCGGCGUGCUUAACACAUGCAAGUCGAGCGGAAAGGCCCUUCGGGGUACUCGAGCGGCGAACGGGUGAGUAACACGUGAGCAACCUGCCCUUAGCUUCGGGAUAGCUCCGGGAAACCGGAAUUAAUACCGAAUAUGACCAUGGCCGGAAUCGGCCAUGGUGGAAAGUUUUUCGGCUAGGGAUGGACUCGCGGCCUAUCAGCUAGUUGGUGAGGUAACGGCCCACCAAGGCGACGACGGGUAGCCGGCCUGAGAGGGCGACCGGCCACACUGGGACUGAGACACGGCCCAGACUCCUACGGGAGGCAGCAGUGGGAAUAUUGCGCAAUGGGCGAAAGCCUGACGCAGCGACGCCGCGUGGGGAUGAAGGCCUUCGGGUUGUAAACCCCUUUCAGCAGGGACGAAGCGAGAGUGACGGUACCUGCAGAAGAAGCGCCGGCUAACUACGUGCCAGCAGCCGC
rnacentral:rRNA from 1 species